CGAAGGGAGAGCAGCAGCGACGGGUGAGUAAAGCACAAGGACUUGUCCCGAAGAGGGGGACAACUGUGGGUAAACCACAGCUAAUACCCCAUAAGCCGAGAGGUGAAAGCAGUAAUGCGCUUUAGGAGAGACUUGUGUCCUAUCAGGUAGUUGGUGAGGUAACGGCUCACCAAGCCGAAGACGGGUAGCCGGACUGAGAGGUUGUACGGCCACAUUGGAACUGAGAGACGGUCCAGACUCCUACGGGAGGCAGCAGUGGGGAAUAUUGGGCAAUGGGGGCAACCCUUGACCCAGCGACGCCGCGUGAGGGAAGACAGCCUUCAGGUUGUAAACCUCUGUUGCAGGGGAAGAAGAAAGUGACGGUACCCUGCGAGGAAGCUCCGGCAAACUACGUGCCAGCAGCCGC
rnacentral:rRNA from 1 species